CUGUUGUAUGAAAGGAGAGAAGGUUAGCAUUCCCCUUGACAAGGAUGGAAGAGGCUCUCGGGCCUGACAACACGCAUACAGCUAAGGCAUUGCCACCUACUUCGUGGCAUCUAACCACCAACUCCC
ensembl:snRNA